rnacentral:rRNA from 1 species
CCUCGGGGGGCUGCAGUGGGGAAUAUUGGACAAUGGGCGAAAGCCUGAUCCAGCCAUGCCGCGUGUGUGAAGAAGGCCUUCGGGUUGUAAAGCACUUUCAGUGGGGAAGAAAGCCUUGGGGCUAAUACCCUCGAGGAAGGACAUCACCCACAGAAGAAGCACCGGCUAACUCCGUGCCAGCAGCCGCGGUAAUACGGAGGGUGCGAGCGUUAAUCGGAAUUACUGGGCGUAAAGCGCGCGUAGGCGGUCUGAUAAGCCGGUUGUGAAAGCCCCGGGCUCAACCUGGGAACGGCAUCCGGAACUGGCAGGCUAGAGUGCAGGAGAGGAAGGUAGAAUUCCCGGUGUAGCGGUGAAAUGCGUAGAGAUCGGGAGGAAUACCAGUGGCGAAGGCGGCCUUCUGGACUGACACUGACGCUGAGGUGCGAAAGCGUGGGUAGCAAACAGGAUUAGAUACCCCAGUAGUC